AGAGUUUGAUCCUGGCUCAGAACGAACGCUGGCGGCGUGCCUAACACAUGCAAGUCGAACGGGGAUAAGUAGCUUGCUAUUUAUUCUAGUGGCGCACGGGUGAGUAACGCGUAGAUAAUCUGCCUUAGACUCUGGGAUAACAUCUCGAAAGGGGUGCUAAUACCGGAUAAGCCCACGGGGACGUGAGUUCUUGCGGGAAAAGGGGGCCUCUGCAUAUGCUCUUGAUCUAAGAUGAGUCUGCGUACCAUUAGCUUGUUGGUAGGGUAAUGGCCUACCAAGGCGACGAUGGUUAGCUGGUCUGAGAGGAUGAUCAUCCACACUGGGACUGAGACACGGCCCAGACUCCUACGGGAGGCAGCAGUGGGGAAUUUUGCGCAAUGGGGGAAACCCUGACGCAGCAACGCCGCGUGAGUGAUGAAGGCUUUCGGGUCGUAAAGCUCUGUCUAGAGGGAAGAAGUGAUAUUCGGUUAAUACCCGGGUUUCUUGACGGUACCUCUGAAGGAAGCACCGGCUAACUCCGUGCCAGCAGCCGCGGUAAUA
rnacentral:rRNA from 1 species